UAAACGGCUCUUUUUAGAGCCACCCAAUAUUUCAAAGAGAAUGAAUU
rfam:Ciona savignyi cont_64358, whole genome shotgun sequence.